AGAGUUUGAUCCUGGCUCAGGACGAACGCUGGCGGCGUGCCUAAUACAUGCAAGUCGAGCGGACGAAUCGAAAGCUUGCUUUUGAUUCGUUAGCGGCGGACGGGUGAGUAACACGUGGGCAACCUGCCCUGUAGACGGGGAUAACACCGAGAAAUCGGUGCUAAUACCGGAUAACACGAAAUGUCGCAUGACGUUUCGUUGAAAGACGGCGCAAGCUGUCGCUACAGGAUGGGCCCGCGGCGCAUUAGCUAGUUGGUGAGGUAACGGCUCACCAAGGCGACGAUGCGUAGCCGACCUGAGAGGGUGAUCGGCCACACUGGGACUGAGACACGGCCCAGACUCCUACGGGAGGCAGCAGUAGGGAAUCUUCCGCAAUGGACGAAAGUCUGACGGAGCAACGCCGCGUGAGCGAAGAAGGCCUUCGGGUCGUAAAGCUCUGUUGUUAGGGAAGAACAAGUAACGCAGUAACUGGCGUUACCGUGACGGUACCUAACGAGAAAGCCACGGCUAACUACGUGCCAGCAGCCGCGGUAAUACGUAGGUGGCAAGCGUUGUCCGGAAUUAUUGGGCGUAAAGCGCGCGCAGGCGGUUCCUUAAGUCUGAUGUGAAAGCCCACGGCUCAACCGUGGAGGGUCAUUGGAAACUGGGGGACUUGAGUGCAGAAGAGGAGAGCGGAAUUCCACGUGUAGCGGUGAAAUGCGUAGAGAUGUGGAGGAACACCAGUGGCGAAGGCGGCUCUCUGGUCUGUAACUGACGCUGAGGCGCGAAAGCGUGGGGAGCAAACAGGAUUAGAUACCCUG
rnacentral:rRNA from 1 species